CAGACUUUUUUCCAUGUGUGCACAGACCACGUGGUCUAUGAACAUGACAGCCCCCACUUCCUGUUUUGGGGAGUCACACAGGUUCCAGGUAGUAUGUAUUUGUGCUGCCAGGCACUCAAAGACACUGAACUCUCAGCUUGAGGCAGAACUGAGCACAUUUGUGAAGGGAAAUCCACGCCUCAUGCCGCUCUCCAGUCUGCUCUGGGUGUUCCUGGUCAUCACCUUCUCUGGAUCUGGUGUGGCCCAGAAAGUUACUCAAGACCAGUCAGAUGUAUCCAGCCACGUGGGGCAGUCAGUCACCCUGAACUGUCGGUAUGAAACAAGAUGGAGUACUUACUACCUUUACUGGUACAAGCAACUUCCCAGUGGACAGAUGACUUACGUUAUUCGUCAGGGUUCAGAAGUGACAAAUGCAAGGAAAGACCGCUACUCUGUAAACUUUAAGAAAGCAGAUAAAUUCAUCAGCCUCACCAUUUCAGCCUUAAAACUGGAAGACUCUGCAAAGUACUUCUGUGCUCUCUGUGACUCACAGUGCUUGAAGUAAUAGGAAAAGCUGUACAAAAACCCCGGAGCUUAGCAAGAGAAAGCCCCUCUGCUGUAAGACCCCACCUGAAAUGCACACCCACAGACCCCAGACAAGAAAUGAUAGUCCUGUGGUUAUUUAAGUUGUGGUCUGGAUCAGAAGAUUUAGUUCUAGUUAAAGGCACCUUCUACGUUAUUUGGAAACAGGUGUCCAGAGUAAUUUUCUACUAAUAUAUUCUCCACUUGAAUUUUUGACUUUAAAUCAACUGUACAGAACAUGUGUAAAGUUGUCUAAAUUUGAAAAUGUGCCCCAUUAUAUUUUAAACUGGCAGUUUUAUUUCAUCACAAAAGUGGGUCUAGUUGUGUGCAAUCACCAUCAAAACUAUUUCCUUAAUUGUUUCCUCUUAGACUUUGUGUCAGGGCACAAUCAGAAAAGCAGAACCAUGGGUGAUGUAGAAUAAGAGAUUAGUUCUAGGGAUUAGAACUCAGGCAAUGGCUAGAGCUGGUGGACGAGUCUGUACAAAGUUGUUAUCUUCAUAUCUGGUGUUGAGCCUGAAUUCACUUUAAGUCAGCUUAGAGUAACACCGAUGCUUUUAAACUAUGAUGUUGGAUAAGACUCUUGAGAGUCCCUUGGAUUGCAAGGAGAUUCAACCAGCUCAUCCUAAAGGAAAUCAGUCCUGAAUAUUCAUUAGAAGGACUGAUGCU